GGGUAUAGCUCAAGUGGUAGAGCGCAUGCUUAGCAUGCCCAAGGUCCUGGGUUCAAUCCCCAGUACUUCCU
rnacentral:tRNA from 1 species